UACGGGAGGCAGCAGUGGGGAAUAUUGCACAAUGGGCGCAAGCCUGAUGCAGCCAUGCCGCGUGUAUGAAGAAGGCCUUCGGGUUGUAAAGUACUUUCAGUCGUGAGGAAGGUGUUAAGGUUAAUAACCUUAGCAAUUGACGUUAGCGACAGAAGAAGCACCGGCUAACUCCGUGCCAGCAGCCGCGGUAAUACGGAGGGUGCGAGCGUUAAUCGGAAUUACUGGGCGUAAAGGGCACGCAGGCGGUUAAUUAAGUUGGAUGUGAAAUCCCCGGGCUUAACCUGGGAAUGGCAUUCAAGACUGGUUAGCUAGAGUCUUGUAGAGGGGGUAGAAUUCCAUGUGUAGCGGUGAAAUGCGUAGAGAUGUGGAGGAAUACCGGUGGCGAAGGCGGCCCCUGGCAAAGACUGACGCUCAUGUGCGAAGCGUGGGGAGCGAAACAGGAUUAGAUACC
rnacentral:rRNA from 1 species